AUUCCCAGUUGUUGAACAGCAGAAGAUGCUCCAACCUAAAUACUGAGAGUCUUAAAAGCCAGGCGGAAGGCUGGAGGGUGCUGGGGAAGUUCAGGCUGUCCCCAGAAGGUGACUGUGAGGAUAAAACAAAUUAGGAAGGAGGAGGACAGAACCCUCGUUCUGCUCCCUGACAGUCAACUUAUACGACCUUCAUGCUGGACUACACAUGUCAUCUCCCGGAGCAGCAGGCGGUGGCUGGGACGGCAGCACAGAGAAAGCCCGGCACAGGCUCCGCUCAGAGCCUCAGGAUGUGGGGAGGCUUCUACAGAUGACCAGCUUGGUGGCGUCAUCAUCCCCACCUGGAGGUGUUUCUGGGCUGGAACAGAGACACACCCCAAGACAUGCCAAGUUCCUGUCUAAGGAACAAUCUCCAGUUCCUUGGCAGAUUGCUAAUAAAUAUUUCCAGUAGGAAGGAGACCUUAUCUGGAACCAAGAGGCAUGUCUGUAAGAAACUCUUAUGAAGUUGUCGGGGUUCAAGUUGGCCUUCCUGUUGUUCAACCUGGUGGAGAAUGUUCCUGUGGGCCUUGGCAGCAAGUCAGCAUUCUUCGUUGGCAUGGAGUCCUAGGAAAAAGAGGCUCUCCACCCUGAAGCCAGUCGCAUAUCACCCCAAUAAACAGUUACAACGCCUCUGCCAACACAGGAUCCCAAAUUGCUGCCUCCGCCUCAUCAUCUUUCCCUUCUAGGCAUGAGACUUUCCAGAAAAGGGCACAGAUGGACAGAGCAUCCUAUGGUUCUGGAACCAGAUGUAUAAUCUUAAGUCUGUUUUUUCCCCCUUUCAGAAUUAGCAUUCCUUUAUCUCAUUCCUAA
ensembl:lncRNA LINC02667 long intergenic non-protein coding RNA 2667